GGUUCCAUAGCAUGGGGGUCAGAACACUGGUCUUGUAAAUCAGAGGUUGUGAGUUCAAAGUUCACUGGGGCCU
rnacentral:tRNA from 1 species